UACGGAGGGUGCAAGCGUUAUCCGGAAUCAUUGGGUUUAAAGGGUCCGCAGGCGGUCAAUUAAGUCAGAGGUGAAAUCCCACAGCUUAACUGUGGAACUGCCUUUGAUACUGGUUGACUUGAGUUAUACGGAAGUAGAUAGAAUAUGUAGUGUAGCGGUGAAAUGCAUAGAUAUUACAUAGAAUACCGAUUGCGAAGGCAGUCUACUACGUAUAUACUGACGCUCAUGGACGAAAGCGUGGGGAGCGAACAGGAUUAGAUACCCGGGUAGUCC
rnacentral:rRNA from 1 species